rnacentral:snRNA from 1 species
AGAUGUGAGGGCAAGCCCGCUGUGACAUGUCAUCUUUUUGAUCACCAGGAUUGAUUCAGCUAACCUGGUUGGGUAGGUGGGUCACCUCAUCCUGCCUUACGGGUCCAUGUAUGACAAUUCUAACACAAGAAAACUUUUUCAGGAAAGGGUAUAGAAGUAGCUGUGCUUCCCUACUAGAAUCUCUCAAAAAUCCAAAAAAAAAAAAAAAAAAACUUGUGAAAAGAGUGAGUAGCAUUAUUUUAAAGUUUUU